AAACUGAAAGAAAACUAAAACACACAAAAAAAUAAGCGAAACACAGACGCGCAACUGAGUUGAAGGCAAAUUUAUUUCUGCCUUUAUAACAC